AUGCUCAAGCGAUUGACCAUGUCCUUCCUCUCCUCGGGGCUCAGCAUCUCCGUCUUGGCACCAAUGCUCGACAAGGUCUCAUGGCGCUGCUGCUAUACCAAAUACUCUGUUUUGUUUGGUUUUUGGCAACUAAAAGAGGUGUUGCUACGGACGGCAGACACACAAGGACAACUCCUCUCGCUGCUGCGCAUUCAUAUUGCAACCGGUCUGUCUUUUCUUAACGGCGAACCGGGCAACUUUACGCAUGAGAUCGAGAAGCAUAUGAUUGCCAACUUCUCUGUUUUGGAGCUAUAUAUCACAAGGGAGGAGCAUGUUUAUGGAGCACCCGUGUUUCAUCUCCUAGGGAUGAACCAAAUUCGUAGUGCUAUGCAGAAGCUUAAGAUCACUCUACCGGGACCAGCGGCGAGAAGAUGCUUACUAGAUUGUAGAUGUCACCAGCCCAUGGGCUGGAGAUCCCAAACUAUCUCCUUGACUGCUCUCGAAGAAGUGGAGAUCAACGGCUUCCAAGGAGACUGUCAUGAGCUCGAUGUCUUGAAACUGAUAUUCAGAUGUGCGCCAAUGCUUAAAAGAAUGAUUGUGAAGCUAUCAUAUACGGCCUCAAAAAGUAACUAUAGACGCAAUACACUAUUUUACAUCCCCAGGGCUAAUUCAUCUAUGGAGUUCUAUGUCUAUCUUAACUCCGGUUUACGGUAUUACGGGCCAAAAUUCCUGUUGAGUUGA
rnacentral:rRNA from 1 species